rnacentral:rRNA from 1 species
ACGAACGCUGGCGGCGUGCCUAAUACAUGCAAGUCGAACGGUCUUUUCUAUGGAAGCUUGCUUCCACUGAGAAGAUAGUGGCGAACGGGUGAGUAACACGUGGGUAACCUGCCCAUAAGAGGGGGAUAACAUCCGGAAACGGGUGCUAAUACCGCAUAGUUUUCUUGAUCGCAUGAUUGAGAAAGGAAAGACGGCCUUUGUGCUGUCGCUUAUGGAUGGACCCGCGGCGUAUUAGUUAGUUGGUGAGGUAAUGGCUCACCAAGACGAUGAUACGUAGCCGACCUGAGAGGGUGAUCGGCCACAUUGGGACUGAGACACGGCCCAAACUCCUACGGGAGGCAGCAGUAGGGAAUCUUCCGCAAUGGACGAAAGUCUGACGGAGCAACGCCGCGUGAGUGAAGAAAAGGUUUUCGGAUCGUAAAACUCUGUUGUCAGAGAAGAACAAGUUGGAGAGUAACUGCUCCAGCCUUGACGGUAUCUGACCAGAAAGCCACGGCUAACUACGUGCCAGCCGCCGC